rnacentral:misc_RNA from 1 species
UCAAACUUGGUCAUUUAGAGGAAGUAAAAGUCGUAACAAGGUUUCCGUAGGUGAACCUGCGGAAGGAUCAUUAUUGAAUUAUGUUUCUGGAUGGGUUGUAGCUGGCUCUCAGGAGUAUGUGCACGCCUGUUUGGACUUCAUUUUCAUCCACCUGUGCACCUAUUGUAGUCUUUGGUUGUUGGGAAUUGAGGAAGUGGUCAACUUUGUCAGCUCAGGCUGGAUGUGAGGACUUGCAGUGUGAAAGCGCUGCUGUCUUUUGGUUGGCCCCGGAAUUCUUUUCUCGCACCAAGGUCUAUGUUAUUCAUGAUACCCCAUAGAAUGUUAUUGAAUGUCGUUACAUGGGCUUACAUGCCUAUGAAAAUCAUAAUACAACUUUCAGCAACGGAUCUCUUGGCUCUCGCAUCGAUGAAGAACGCAGC